GGGGUUGUAGUUAAUUAUAACAUUUGAUUUGCACUCAAAAGGUAUUGAAAUAUCAAUCUACCUUA
rnacentral:tRNA from 1 species